CCAGUUUUCACCUUUGUUAACCAGGCUGGUCUUGACAUGCUUGAGACAACCUUGGUCGCCCUUCAAGACAUUACUUUGGAGAAGAUAUUUGAUGAUCAUGGAAGAAAAACUCUCUGCUCUGAGUUUCCACAAAUUAUGCAAUAGGCAAAGAAGAAAAUGGUUGAAUUAGUACAUAAAAUCAUCGAAGCGAAAAGGAAGAACAGAGGCAGAUCAGAAGUUGCAAAAGAUAUAGCUGAUGUUUUGCUGAAUGAUGCAAGUGAAGAGCUAAAUGAUUAUCUAAUUUCAGAUGUUUUUAAUAUUAUAAGCCAUAUUAGUGUGCUUUUUAUUCCUUUUUAAUUUUUUUGGGCAAAUUACACUUCUUGACCAUUUUGAUUUUAAUUGAUGUAUUUAAAGUCUAAAUUGUUGCUAUUCUUAGGUAUGCAAUGUAUUGUUUUUUAUUUUUAA